ensembl:lncRNA
UGAGAAGAGUACCCAUUGAUUCCACUGUAGCCAUAUGACUGAGAAGAGUACCCAUUGAUUCCACUAUAACCAUAUGACUGAGAAGAGUACCCAUUGACCCCAUUAUAGCCAUAUGACUGAGAAGAGUACCCAUUGACGGUGUACUUCCUGAAUUGAAAUGGAAUUGGCUCCGACCCUGGUGGGCAUUUGAACAGUCAGAACCGUUUCCCCCUAUUCAGAAUCAACUCUGAGGAAGAUUUCAAUUUCCUGCAGAGCACCGUGAGUGGAGGGACACUCCAACUAGAGAGAAGAGGGACUAUUUCCUGCAGAGCACCGUGAGUGGAGGGACACUUCAACUAGAGAGAAGAGGGACUAUUUCCUGCAGAGCACCGUGAGUGGAGGGACACUCCAACUAGAGAGAAGAGGGACUGUUUCUUGCAGAGCACCGUGAGCGGAGGGACACUCCAACUAGAGAGAAGAGGGACUGUUUCCUGCAGAGCACCGUGAGUGGAGGGACACUCCAACUAGAGAGAAGAGGGACUGUUUCCUGCAGAGCACCGUGAGUGGAGGGACACUUCAACUAGAGAGAAGAGGGACUAUUUCCUGCAGAGCACCGUGAGUGGAGGGACACUCCAACUAGAGAGAAGAGGGACUGUUUCUUGCAGAGCACCGUGAGCGGAGGGACACUCCAACUAGAGAGAAGAGGGACUGGUCAUAGGUCGUGGACUAUGAAGGGUUCCAUUUGGGACUACAGGAUGUGAUGUCAACUGUUGUCAUGUAGCUAGCUAGCAUCGUUCCAGUCGGUGUACUGUACAAUAUUUCAGCAUUACCUUCAAUACAUGUUCGUUAUUAUUUUUCCAGAUUUAGGUGAGAGUUGACUAAAAAUAAAAGUAUUAUUUUACUACUGAAGCAGCCAAUGAGUUCAAGUUAUCCAUACUUAUUUUCUGUAAGGUAACAUUUGUCUGUAUAUCAAAAUAUAAGUUUUGUUCAUAAAAAAAAAAAAGUGCCCAAAAAAAAAGCUUGGUCUGGACAUUUCUUGAGAAACAAAUCUUCGAUGAAAGUCCUUAUCGGUAUUUUCUUCUUGCUGGAUACUUUUCCAUGUCAUUGUAUGAGGAGAAGAACCUAUUGUUUUGCAUUUUCC